GCCUAAAAUCUAGCCCUACUCCACCCGCAUGAACACCUUAACCCUAUGCCCUUCAAACAAAACAUUUUAACAUUUUAGUACAGGCGAUCAAAAAAUUUCUAGGCGCUUCAGAUACAGUACCGCAAGGGAAUGAUGAAAUAAUAAUGAAAUAACUUUAAAGCCCAAUACAGCAGAGACUCACCCUCGUACCUUUUGCAUCAUGGUCUAGCUAGUCCAACCAAGCAAAAAGAAACUUUUAGUUUGACUCCCCGAAACUAAGCGAGCUACUUCAAAACAGCCCAAAGGGGCCAACCCGUCUCUGUUGCAAAAGAGUGGGAAGAUUUUUAAGUAGAGGUGAAAAGCCUACCGAGCUUAGAGAUAGCUGGUUGUUCAGGAAAAGAGUUUAAGCUCUACCUUAAGUUUUACCGUUACCCCAAACACAACCUUAAACUUAAGAGCUAUUCAAAUAAGGCACAGCUUAUUUGAAGCAGGGUACAACCUCAGACACCGGGUAAAUAUGGGUGCACCCAAGUAAAGUGGGCCUAAAAGCAGCCACCUUCUAAAAAGCGUUAAAGCUUAACCACAAGCUUCCCUUAAUUCCUUAAAUUUAUUUUAACCCUUAAUCACUACUGAACUGUUUUAUAUUAAUAUAAAAGUUAUUAUGCUAGAACUAGUAAUAAGAAAUUGCCUUUCUCCUAAAUGCAAGCAUAAACCAAAAUGGACCUACCAUUGGUAGUUAACGUAAAUGUCUCUAUUAUAGCAACACUCAACUAGAAAACCCUAUAAUCACUAACGUUAGCCUAACACCAGCGCAUUUCAGGAAAGAUUAAAAGAGAAAGAAGGAACUCGGCAAACCUUAGCCCCGCCUGUUUACCAAAAACAUCGCCUCUUGAUUAAACAUAAGAGGUCCAGCCUGCCCAGUGACAUAGUUUAACGGCCGCGGUACCCUAACCGUGCGAAGGUAGCAUAAUCACUUGUUCUUUAAAUAGGGACUCGUAUCAACGGCAUCACGAGGGCUAUACUGUCUCCUUUCUCCAAUCAAUGAAACUGAUCUCCCCGUGAAGAAGCGGGGAUUAACCUAUAAGACGAGAAGACCCCAUGGAGCUUCAAACUCAACAUAUACCUCUACGCACUUAAACCACUUUAGCCCAAGAGACCUCUAUGUUAGUUUUGGGUUGGGGGGACCGCGGAGUAAAAAUUAACCUCCACGACAAACGGGCUUUAUGCCCUUAUCCACGAACCACAGCUCUAAGAAUCAAUAAACUGAUGUUUAUGACCCGAUUAUUCGAUCAACGAACCAAGUUACCCUGGGGAUAACAGCGCAAUCUACUUCAAGAGCCCCUAUCGACAAGUAGGUUUACGACCUCGAUGUUGGAUCAGGGUAUCCUAGUGGUGCAGCCGCUACUAAUGGUUCGUUUGUUCAACGAUUAAAACCCUACGUGAUCUGAGUUCAGACCGGAGCAAUCCAGGUCGGUUUCUAUCUAUAAAGCGUUUCCCCUAGUACGAAAGGAUCGGGGCAACAUGGCCAAUGUAAAAACAAGCCAUACUCUUCACUAAUGAAUUUAUCUCAAUUAGUUCGGACCUAACACUGCACCGCAGACCAAGGUAG
rnacentral:rRNA from 1 species